UACAGAGGUCUCAACCGUUGUUCGGAUUCAUUGGGCGUAAAGGGUGCGUAGGCGGUCGUGCAAGUCGGAUGUGAAAUCUCAGGGCUCAACCCUGAAACUGCAUUCGAUACUGCGUGGCUAGGGUGCUGGAGAGGAGACUGGAAUUUACGGUGUAGCAGUGAAAUGCGUAGAUAUCGUAAGGAAGACCAGUGGCGAAGGCGAGUCUCUGGACAGCAACUGACGCUGAGGCACGAAGGCCAGGGGAGCAAACGGG
rnacentral:rRNA from 1 species